UUCGAGCUCGCAACUUUAAAUUGAUCAUUGCAGAAAUGAGUUAUAGUAUCUGGCUAGAAAGGAAUUCCAGGAUGUUUACUAAUGUUUCAACUCCUGUUGGGCAAUAGCUUAGAAACACUGCCUACAUUUGUCAUGUUAGAAGUCCUAGCGAGUUUAGCUUACAACUUCAACAACUUCCCUGUAAUUAGACAUAGAGGCAUAGUAUAGAAGUAGGAUAUGAGCUACUUAAGUGAUAGCCAGCUGUGUUAGCUGGACUAUAGCUUUGUAAAGGCUUAUCUUUGGUGAUUAAUAAAAAAAUUUAAUUACCAAAAAAAAAGAGCAUUU
rnacentral:lncRNA from 1 species